rnacentral:rRNA from 1 species
GAUGAACGCUAGCGGCAGGCCUAAUACAUGCAAGCCGAACGGCAAGUUUGAUAGCAUUAUUGGACCUAGAGUGGCGCAAGGGUGCGUAACACGUAUGCAACCUGCCCGCGACAGGAGGAUAUCUCCCCGAAAGGGGAAUUAACCCUCCAUAACACCAUGAGAAGGCAUCUGAUUAUUGUUAAACCGCAAGGUGUCGCGGAUGGGCAUGCGGUUGAUUAGCUAGUUGGCGGGGUAAAGGCCCACCAAGGCGGUGAUCAAUAGGGGUUCUGAGAGGAAGGUCCCCGAAACUGGCACUGGGAUAAGGGCCAGACGCCUACGGGAGGCAGCAGUAGGGAAUAUAGGACAAUGGUUGCGAGGCUGAACCAGCCAUGCCGCGUGCAGGAAGAAGGCAUUCUGGGUCGCAAACUGCUUUUUCCAGUGGAUAAAAUACCCGUGCGCGGGGAAUUGAAGGUAACAGGGGAAUAAGCCACGGCUAACUACGUG